AGCAACUGCGAUUGCCCCAGUAACGGCGAGUGAAGAGGCAGCAGCCCAGAUUUGAAAUCUGGCCCCGUGACGGGGUCCGAGUUGUAAUCUGCAGAGGGCAAGUCCGGUUAGCCUCCCGCCCAGUCUCCCUGGAACGGGACGCCAAAGAGGGUGACAGCCCCGUGCGGCGGGCUGGCGAGCCGAUGUGACUGCCCUUCGAAGAGUCGCAUAGUUUGGGAAUGCUGUGCAAAGUGGGAGGUAUGCUCCUCCUAAGGCUAAAUACCGGCCGGAGACCGAUAGCGCACAAGUAGAGUGAUCGAAAGAUGAAAAGCACUUUGAAAAGAGGGUUAAACAGUACGUGAAAUCGUUGAAAGGGAAGCGCCCGCGACCAGACUCGCGGCCGGCGGAUCAUCCUGCCCCUCGCAGGUGCGCUCCGCCGGCCGCGGGCCAGCAUCGGUCAGGCCCACCGCGCAAAGGUGGCGGGAACGUGGCCCCCCCUCGGGGGGGUGUUACAGCCCGCCACGCAAUGCGGCGGGCCUGUCCGAGGACCGCGCCAUCCGGCAAGGAUGCUGGCGUAAUGGUCGUCGGCGGCCCGUCUUGAAACACGGACCAAGGAGUCGUCCUCGCGCGCGAGUGUGCGGGUUCUAAACCCCUGCGCGUAGUGAAAGCGAACGCUGGUGGGAGCCUCGGCGCACCACCGACCGAUCCUGAUGUUCUCGGACGGAUUUGAGUAAGAGCGUGCGGGGCCGGACCCGAAAGAGGGUGAGCUAUACUUGACUAGGGCGAAGCCAAGGGAAACCUUGGUGGAGGCUCGCAGCGGUUCUGACGUGCAAAUCGAUCGUCGAAGUUGAGUAUGGGGGCGAAAGACUAAUCGAAC
rnacentral:rRNA from 1 species